UAUUGUAAACUCUGCCUUAAUUUAGUUAGGUUAUUCUAAUUAAGGCAGAGUUUACAAUAGG
ensembl:miRNA Mir5624 microRNA 5624